UGAAGAUUUUUAUCUGAUUUUCCCUUUUUAAAAUUCAGAGAUUCCUUUGGCUACACUAUUAUCUUUUCAGGUAGGAGGGCGGAAGGGUCAGGCCUGCAGUUUUAUAUGGCUGCUGUCAUUGCCAUCUCGUAAGCCAAUGGAAACAGAAAUAUAAUCACAUGCCUAGAAAAAUACUCUCAGCACAUUAGCCCACUUCAGAGCACAAGGGGGGAAUAAUGGUCAGGUCCCUAGUCUGAAACUGAGCUUGGAAAAUAAAGCAUGGGAUUUAAAAGUACACAUUAUCCUUCUGCUUUACAGAUUAUAAAACAGUCUCUGACUCACAGAAACAUGGUAUGCUUUGGCUGCCAAUGAAACAGAUGGGAUUCUCCAUUCACUGCAAGACUCUUUAAAAAUAUGUAUGGCAGGAUUUGUCCAUGACAAUACCCAAUGGACUUAAUAAAAAGCAUUGGAUGGAGAAAGACAUCCAGCAAUGAAGAAUAUUCAUCGUGCCUGUUCAAUAUCAAUUGUGAGACUUUGAGUGGAUUUAAAGGGGAUAUACAAAUCAGAAAUAGAAAUUAUAAAAUGGUAUGACAGGCAAAUUAAGCUCACUGCUGCAAACAAGAGAGGCCUGGACAAUGUACGUGGCUGUUUUGCACUCCUGGAAAAUACAUCACGAUGGCAUACAGCAAGGGACUACACAUUUAAAUAAAUGGAAGAUUCAACAGAACUUUGGGAUUUGACAAUUUAUGAUCUUAGAUGACGAGUAUAUUAUGUGUUUAGAAAAGAAUGAGACAGCUCCCAUGAGGAAAGCCGUUGGAAGGUUCAACUCGAUUGGGGCAAAGUAUAUAUUUAAGCAAAGGGAAGAGCCUGGUGGAAUCAACAAUGCAGCCAACAGCUUCCUCUGGAUUGUUAUACAGAGUUUCUCAGGGUCUCUGCAAUCACAGUACAGAGUAAACAAUGUGAAUGACAGAAUGAACAAUGUGAACCAAAACAAGGAAAUUGGAAAAAGACUAUUGUGAAGUGAAUACUUUUCAGGUAUUGGCAAAAUGAAGAAGCCACUUAAACAUGAUAACCAUAAAUUGAGGGAAUGGCUGCAUCAAAGGAAUAGCCUUUAGGUCAACCAUAAAUGCAUUGGCUCUCUGUCAGAGCAGCCAUCUAUCAGAGACCUUUCUAAUUCCACCCACUGAUCACUUUGCUCUUCCCUCUUCUCUCUACUCUUGCAAACAUACUUAUUUAAACCAUAUAUUUAUCUAGACUUUGAAGGCCACAAUGGACCCUCCAACACAUCUGAAGGAAGUGCAUUCCAGAUUCCAACCACAUGCUGUGUAAAACGUUGUUCCUCAUGUUAGCCUUGAUUCUCUUCCUCUUUAUACUAUAGGAGUAUAUUAUCUUUAUAUUUUAUAUUCUUGGUGUUUGUAAUACUUGAGAUACUUAAAUAUUAUCCUUUAUCUAUUAUUAUCAUUUGUAUUAGCUUUGCUCUGCAUGUUUGGAUUAGCUUGUUUAAGUUGAGAUAAGACAUUUGUGCAAAAUAAUUGUGCUCGCCUUUGUGUGUUUUGUUGAGGGGGAAGGUGUUUGGGUUCUCCAUUCGAAGCUAGCUCACUACUUAGCGUAAAUUAGCUGUGACAGUUAUAUGAUCUUUGUAACUUUGUAAUACCCCUGGCUGAGAUAACUAAGAGAGAUAAUGGAGGCCCAAGAUUCUCUUGCAGCCAUUAGUGUAAAUCAGUGGUGACAAUUAUAUGACCUUUGUAACUCUGUAUCAAGCCCUAACUAAGAGAAAUAAGGGGCCCAAGAAGGGGAAGCCAUGUGGUUUAAACAAGGGUGUGUUACGGAAUGGAAAAUUACAGGGGAAGGAGGAGAAAAGCAAAUGCAAGUGAUAGGGUAUUGCUGAGGGAAUGUUUGCAAGUGAUUGGUUAUCGAUAAGGGCAUGUCUGCAAGUGAUUGGGUAUGGAAAUGCACCGGGGUGGGACAUACAGACAUGCCAUAAAAAGAGGCAACUCUUUGUUUGAAAGUGAACUCUCAAGUGAUUUGCUCUUUGAGUGUUCCAGCCUCAAUUUUCAAAUAAAGGUUAGAACUUCUUGAGGAAUUAUCCAUGUCGCCUGAGUUAAUUUUGAGUAUCAGCAACUACAACAAUACACCAUCGUUCAGGAGGAAACCAAAGAUCUUGGAGAAAAUCCACGCAGGUCACGUGGAGAACUCUGUACAGACAGCACCCAUGGCCGGGAUUGAACCGGGUCUCCGGCACUCAAGGGAGGAGAACAGGCAAAUGAACACGUUCAUGUUUACACGCCACCACAGACUAUGACAAUGCACUAACUAGUGGAAUACCAUUAACACUCUUAAUAAAAAAAUAACAAAGAAAAAUCAUAUUACUGCAGUGGGUCAAAUUUUUAAAUUAUUUUGUUUGAAGCGGUUUACAAUACUUUCAUUGGGAACUAGAUAAUGGUGAGCAAAGACAAUUUCUUCUUCAAUGUUCUUGAGCAUAAAACCACUGUAAUUAGAUUUUCACAUUCACGCUGUUGGUUUGAAUAACACAAAGAGCAAUGCAAUACAUUCUGCCACUGUAUGAAGGUCGAUGUAUCAUAAAUAUGAAACCUGCAUAGAGAUUCAGUUCCAUGAUGGAUAAAAAACAUGCACGGGAUUUCACUUCCAUGGAAAUGAAUCUCUGAGAUAAAUGGCAAUGCAUGGCUGCUAUGAUCUGGCAGUUGGCCGCACCCUUGGAAAAAUCCCAAAAGUUCUGCUAUCGGCUCAAGAAGCAGGACAUGGAAGCAGGAAGGCGGUGUGGCUGCGGUGAUCACAGUGAGUGAUGGUGGCGGAGGUGGCCGCAGGAGGCCUUACAGCAGGGAGAGCUUGUGGACCGAACACAGCCUGUGGCAGCUGCACAGCGCGGGUGGGGGAGCUGAUGGCAAUGCACUGGACCAGGCUGACCCCUACACCAUCGAUCCAGAGUAGCCAAGACAUGGGGCCUUAAAGGAAGAAUAUAAGAAAUUGCAUGUCUUCUUAGGUCUAGAUCGAACCUUUCAGAGACCUGAAGUUGCAAACUGGCACCAGAAAUGGCGACUCGCAGUGUGCUGGUCCAGAAGAGGAUCUGUUGUACUCAUGCAUAGUAUGAUUUGACUGGAUAGCAUGUAGAACAAGCCAUACACAUGACAAUAUUAAACUAAACUAUUACCUGACCACCCAGGUUUUCAAAAACAAAAUACUUCAAGUUCUGCCAAUUGGAAGAAAAAUGAAAGGUCUUCAACCUGUAUCAUUAAACCUGACACUGCAAUUUUCUUUCCUGACCUGUGGAUGAUUUUCCAACGUCUUCUGUUUUGACCCAAGCUUUCAUAUCAUUUUACAGUUCAUAACAGGUAUGGCUUCCAGGUGGUUAGGAAAACUCACAGGGUUAGAUAUUUUCUGGGAAAUGGUGAUUUCAAGGAAAAUGGCAUACAUUCUUCAAAUUCUCAAAGGUAUAAACAAUGUCUAAGAACAAGGGAAGCACAAACCCUGAAUUUCCACACAAUACAGUAAAAUCAUUUGUAAAAAUUAAGCUCCACUUCUCUUUCUUGCCAUGUCAUUACAUUCUUUGAGACUAGGAACCAAUUAAUCUCAGCCUUGAAUAUACUGAACUAGUCAACCUCAACAGUCUUUUAGGGUAAAUAACUCACAAUCCUCUGAUUAAGGAUAUUUCUCCUCUAC